rnacentral:rRNA from 1 species
AUUGAACGCUGGCGGAGCGCUUUACACAUGCAAGUCGAACGGUAGAGGGGGCAACCCCUUGAGAGUGGCGAACGGGUGAGUAAUGCAUCGGAACGUGCCCAGUCGUGGGGGAUAACGCAGCGAAAGCUGUGCUAAUACCGCAUACGAUCUCUGGAUGAAAGCGGGGGACCGAAAGGCCUCGCGCGAUUGGAGCGGCCGAUGUCAGAUUAGGUAGUUGGUGGGGUAAAGGCUCACCAAGCAAACGAUCUGUAGCUGGUCUGAGAGGACGACCAGCCACACUGGGAAUGAGACACGGCCCAGACUCCUACGGGAGGCAGCAGUGGGGAAUUUUGGACAAUGGGCGCAAGCCUGAUCCAGCAAUGCCGCGUGCAGGAAGAAGGCCUUCGGGUUGUAAACUGCUUUUGUGCGGAACGAAAAGGUCUGGGUUAAUACCCUGGGCACAUGACGGUACCGUAAGAAUAAGCACCGGCUAACUACGUGCCAGCCGCCGCGGUAA